rnacentral:rRNA from 1 species
UACGUAGGGCGCAAGCGUUGUCCGGAAUUAUUGGGCGUAAAGAGCUCGUAGGCGGCCUGUUGCGUCCGCUGUGAAAUCCCGGGGCUCAACCCCGGGCCUGCAGUGGAUACGGGCUGGCUAGAGGCAGGCAGGGGAGAACGGAAUUCCUGGUGUAGCGGUGAAAUGCGCAGAUAUCAGGAGGAACACCGGUGGCGAAGGCGGUUCUCUGGGCCUGUACUGACGCUGAGGAGCGAAAAGCGUGGGGGAGCGAACAGG